rnacentral:lncRNA from 1 species
UUGCCAGUGUUUGGUGUUAACUGCACAUCAGGUUCAUAAUUUAUGGUGGAUAACUUAUAAGCAAAUAAUUAAAGAUCUACAAAGGUAAAUUCAUUGAUUGAUUGAAUUGGGUUGUGCACAAAAAAGGAAAAUAAAAGAAUUUAAGGGUGUUUUCCUGACUUUCCUGAUGGAUGACCUUGCUAAAAAUUCCAGGCGACGCUGGUAUCCAGAGAGGGUUCUGUGUGAAAAGAGAUUCCAUGAGACAAAUGGAAGAACAAGGAGAGGCGAAAGGAACAAUAGAGGUCUUUCAGAAGCAGGUCAACAAACAUUGAUGCAGC